rnacentral:ncRNA from 1 species
UAUUGAACAAGGCACACUGCUCGAAAGGGCAGGCCGCAAAGCCACAGGCCUUCAUAGCGGAAGCUAAAAGGCGGCUGGGUUGCCAAU